AUACAGAGGGUGCGGGCGUUAAUCGGAAUUACUGGGCGUAAAGCGCGCGUAGGCGGCUUAUUAAGUCAGAUGUGAAAUCCCCGGGCUCAACCUGGGAACUGCAUCUGAUACUGGUAAGCUAGAGUUUUAGAGAGGGAAGUAGAAUUUCAGGUGUAGCGGUGAAAUGCAUAGAGAUCUGAAGGAAUACCAGUGGCGAAGGCGACUUCCUGGCCAAAAACUGACGCUGAGGUGCGAAAGCGUGGGUAGCAAACGGAAUUAGAAACCCCAGUAGUCC
rnacentral:rRNA from 1 species